AUUUGCAUAAAUUGAAGAAGUGGG
rnacentral:siRNA from 1 species